GCCGGCGUAGCUCAGUGGUAGAGCAGCCGAUUCGUAAUCGGCUGGUCGGGAGUUCAACUCUCCCCGUCGGCUCCA
rnacentral:tRNA from 2 species